rnacentral:rRNA from 1 species
GAUGAACGCUCGCUACAGGCUUAACACGUGCAAGUCGCGGGGCAGCAUGGGGGUUGCUUGCAAUCCCCGAUGGCGACCGGCGCACGGGUGAGUAACGCGUAUCCAACCUGCCCUUCACCACGGGAUAACCCGGCGAAAGUCGGACUAAUACCGUAUGUUGUCCAUUGACGGCAUCCGAUUUGGACGAAAGGCUUGGCGGUGAGGGAUGGGGAUGCGUCCGAUUAGCCAGACGGCGGGGUAACGGCCCACCGUGGCUACGAUCGGUAGGGGUUCUGAGAGGAAGGUCCCCCACACUGGAACUGAGACACGGUCCAGACUCCUACGGGAGGCAGCAGUGAGGAAUAUUGGGCAAUGGGCGUAAGCCUGAACCAGCCAAGUAGCGUGCAGGAGGACGGCCCUAUGGGUUGUAAACUGCUUUUAUGCGGGGAUAAAGUGGCCCACGUGUGGGCUUUUGCAGGUACCGCAUGAAUAAGGACCGGCUAAUUCCGUG